CAUCCUUAACCCAGUUUUAGACCAUCUUGUCCUGAGAUACUGGCCAAAAGUGACGGACUUUCCGCAGUUUGCUUGGCCGUUUGGCUCUAAUCUGCCCCUACAAGUGUAGAGAGAACAUUGACCUUCUUCACUCGGACUGGGUCGGGAUGUGAACGGAGUGCCAUCAGAGGCGCCAUGUCCAACUUCUCCACCGCUCUCUUGGCGCUGUUUUCUGUCCUCUUGUGCGUGGAGCUCAUUCAAGGAGCGGAGUACAUGGGGUGUUACCAGGACAGCUGGUUCAGCCGCGUGCUACCGUAUGAAUACGCCUCGAAAAAUGACAUCAAGUCCUGCGGACUCCACUGCAAGAAUAACGGAUACAUCUACUACG